GGGGUCUUAUCACAUUGAAAUCGCUUCCCAUAUGAUCACCAAAGUUAAGACAUGUUGAGCCUGGUCAGUACCUAGAUGGGUGACCACUUGGGAAUACCAAAUGCU